rnacentral:rRNA from 1 species
GCACUUUAAGCAGUGAAGAAGACUCCGUGGUUAAUACCCACGGACGAUGACAUUAGCUGCAGAAUAAGCACCGGCUAACUCUGUGCCAGCAGCCGCGGUAAUACAGAGGGUGCAAGCGUUAAUCGGAAUUACUGGGCGUAAAGGGAGCGUAGGUGGCUCGAUAAGUCAGAUGUGAAAUCCCCGGGCUCAACCUGGGAACUGCAUCUGAUACUGUUGAGCUAGAGUAUGUGAGAGGAAGGUAGAAUUCCAGGUGUAGCGGUGAAAUGCGUAGAGAUCUGGAGGAAUACCGAUGGCGAAGGCAGCCUUCUGGCAUAAUACUGACACUGAGGCUCGAAAGCGUGGGCAGCAAACAGGAUUAGAUACCCUGGUAGUCCACGCCGUAAACGAUGUCUACUAGUCGUUGG